rnacentral:lncRNA from 1 species
CUUUUAAGGAGGAGCAGACCACCUGCUCUACAAAGAUGGGGACAUGACUGUCAUUUGUUUGGUGAGCAGAUGUGCCAGCUACCCAGAGGGGACAGUCAUGGUACUUGGUGAGAUUCUGCCAGAUGAUGAAACUGAGGUUUGGCCUGGCCAUCAUAACCAUGGAUAGAGGACCUGGGUUAUGUCAGGACCCUCUGUUGCUGCAACCAACAGUCAAGUGUCUUAUUGGAUUAUUGAGGCUUGAAGGCAUAACUUUUGACAAGCAUUACACUGACCUUGGCCUUGUAUCCAAGAGAGUUUUGGAGUCAGGCUAG